UACGUAGGGUGCGAGCGUUAAUCGGAAUUACUGGGCGUAAAGCGUGCGCAGGCGGUUCUCCAAGUCCGUUGUGAAAGCCCCGGGCUCAACCUGGGAAUGGCAGUGGAAACUUGGGGACUUGAAUCUGGCAGAGGGGGGUGGAAUUCCACGUGUAGCAGUGAAAUGCGUAGAGAUGUGGAGGAACACCGAUGGCGAAGGCAGCCCCCUGGGCUGAGAUUGACGCUCAGGCACGAAAGCGUGGGGAGCAAACAGG
rnacentral:rRNA from 1 species